rnacentral:rRNA from 1 species
UACGGAGGGUGCAAACGUUGCUCGGAAUCAUUGGGCGUAAAGCGCACGUAGGCGGUCCGGUAAGUCGGAUGUGAAAUCCCUCGGCUUAACCGUGGGCUUGCAGCCGAUACGGGCGGGCUGGAGUUCGGUAGGGGAGACUGGAAUUCCUGGUGUAGCGGUGAAAUGCGCAGAUAUCAGGAGGAACACCGGUGGCGAAGGCGGGUCUCUGGGCCGAUACUGACGCUGAGGAGCGAAAGCGUGGGGAGCGAACAGG